rnacentral:rRNA from 1 species
UACGGGGGGAGCAAGCGUUGUUCGGAUUUACUGGGCGUAAAGGGCUCGUAGGCGGCCAACUAAGUCAGACGUGAAAUCCCCAGGCUCAACCUGGGAACUGCGUCUGAUACUGGUUGGCUUGAAUCCGGGAGAGGGAUGCAGAAUUCCAGGUGUAGCGGUGAAAUGCGUAGAUAUCUGGAGGAAUACCGGUGGCGAAGGCGGCAUCCUGGACCGGCAUUGACGCUGAGGAGCGAAAGCCAGGGGAGCAAACGGG